AACGUAGGUGACAAGCGUUAUCCGGAUUUACUGGGCGUAAAGCGUGUGCAGGCGGGGGGAUAAGUGGUGUAUGAAAUCGCUCGGCUUAACCGGGCGCGGUUAUGCCAGACUGUCCUUCUGGAGCGCGAGAGAGGAGCGUGGAAUUCCGGGUGUAGUGGUGAAAUGCGUAGAGAUCCGGAGGAACCCCAGAGGCGAAGGCGGCGCUCUGGCUCGCGACUGACGCUCAGACACGACAGCAUGGGGAGCGAACGGG
rnacentral:rRNA from 1 species